AGAGUUUGAUCCUGGCUCAGAUUGAACGCUGGCGGCAUGCUUUACACAUGCAAGUCGGACGGCAGCACAGGGAAGCUUGCUUCUUGGGUGGCGAGUGGCGAACGGGUGAGUAACAUAUCGGAACGUACCGAGCAGUGGGGGAUAACUAAUCGAAAGAUUAGCUAAUACCGCAUAUUUUCUGAGGAAGAAAGCAGGGGACCUUUGGGCCUUGCGCUGUUUGAGCGGCCGAUAUCUGAUUAGCUAGUUGGUGGGGUAAAGGCCUACCAAGGCGACGAUCAGUAGCGGGUCUGAGAGGAUGAUCCGCCACACUGGGACUGAGACACGGCCCAGACUCCUACGGGAGGCAGCAGUGGGGAAUUUUGGACAAUGGGCGCAAGCCUGAUCCAGCCAUGCCGCGCGUCUGAAGAAGGCCUUCGGGUUGUAAAGGACUUUUGUCAGGGAAGAAAAGGGCGGGGUUAAUACCCCUGUCUGAUGACGGUACCUGAAGAAUAAGCACCGGCUAACUACGUGCCAGCAGCCGCGGUAAUACGUAGGGUGCGAGCGUUAAUCGGAAUUACUGGGCGUAAAGCGAGCGCAGACGGUUACUUAAGCAGGAUGUGAAAUCCCUGGGCUCAACCUGGGAACUGCGUUCUGAACUGGGUGACUAGAGUGUGUCAGAGGGAGGUAGAAUUCCACGUGUAGCAGUGAAAUGCGUAGAGAUGUGGAGGAAUGCCGAUGGCGAAGGCAGCCUCCUGGGAUAACACUGACGUUCAUGCUCGAAAGCGUGGGUAGCAAACAGGAUUAGAUACCCUGGUAGUCCACGCCCUAAACGAUGUCAAUUAGCUGUUGGGCAACUUGAUUGCUUAGUAGCGUAGCUAACGCGUGAAAUUGACCGCCUGGGGAGUACGGUCGCAAGAUUAAAACUCAAAGGAAUUGACGGGGACCCGCACA
rnacentral:rRNA from 1 species